UACGGCAGUAUCAUCCUGAAUCACCAGUCCACGUACGACCACCGAAGUUAAGAAACGUCGAACCUGGUCAGUACUUAGCUGGGUGAUCGCCUGGAAAUACAAGAUCUUG